AAAUUUAUCACAUUGUGCUAUACAUGCUUGCCUGAUUGCAUGACUAUCUCUGAAAAGACCAUGAGCACUUUGUGAAAACCUUUAGAACCUGAGUUCCAGAUCCAAUGUAAGAACAUAUUGAAGCAUGUUAUCCAAACCUGGCACUAUGAGUCUCCUAGAAAACUGUUGAGUGGAAAUUCCCUAAAUCAUAGACACAAAAACUUCACACCAAUAACAGGAGUCCUGGUGCCUAGAGGACAGUGAAAUUAUACAACAGCAAGACUAAGGCAUCUGCAAAUCACCGUCUUGAUCCUCUAUCUAUCAGGACAUACACAACUCAGUUCAUUCAAUCAAUUUAUGGUUUUGUCGGGAGAGCCAAGAAAAUGCAUCAUGCGCCACCCUGUGAACUAAGGAACAUUUAGUUCACGUACCCUCCAGCUCCUGCACUAACAAGCAGCAGUAACACCAUAGCAGAAAUUAUCUCCGAUCGCAUUAAUUCUCCUUAAUACAUAACAUGUGGCCAGCCAAUGUGACCCUUCCAAAGCUGUGUUUUCUAGAACACUGUGCUUAUUAAACUCCUCUCUAAGAACAUACUAUGAAUAAUCAACGACAAUCUGCUUCUCAUCCUCCCUUAAAAAAUGUUCAAAAUGUAGAAUCCCAUCUUAGCCAGAAACGCC
ensembl:lncRNA